CAGUAGCCGCGGUAAUACGAAGGGUGCAAGCGUUAAUCGGAAUUACUGGGCGUAAAGCGUGCGUAGGUGGUUCGCCAAGUUGGAUGUGAAAUCCCCGGGCUCAACCUGGGAACUGCAUCCAAAACUGGCGAGCUAGAGUAUGGUAGAGGGUGGUGGAAUUUCCUGUGUAGCGGUGAAAUGCGUAGAUAUAGGAAGGAACAUCAGUGGCGAAGGCGACCACCUGGACUGAUACUGACACUGAGGUGCGAAAGCGUGGGGAGCAAACAGGAUUAGAUACCCCAGUAGUCCCUGUCUCUUAUAC
rnacentral:rRNA from 1 species